rnacentral:rRNA from 1 species
UACGUAGGGUCCGAGCGUUGUCCGGAAUUAUUGGGCGUAAAGGGCUCGUAGGCGGUUUGUCGCGUCGGGAGUGAAAACUCAGGGCUCAACCCUGAGCGUGCUUCCGAUACGGGCAGACUAGAGGUAUGCAGGGGAGAACGGAAUUCCUGGUGUAGCGGUGAAAUGCGCAGAUAUCAGGAGGAACACCGGUGGCGAAGGCGGUUCUCUGGGAAUGUUCUGACGCUGAGGAGCGAAAGUGUGGGGAGCGAACAGG